rnacentral:misc_RNA from 1 species
GUAGAGCAUUUUACAUCCUCUGCAACGCCCAAAUAACUCAUUUUACAGUGAACUUGCAAAAGCUAUGAUCUAACAAGGACAUUCCAUGUCGAGUUGUCUCACCGCUAAAUGGGAGAAAAUAAUCCUCAAAUCACAAAUAAACCCAUUCAAAACAUGACUUCGUUGUAGUCUUCACGACAAAUAUUAACGUCAAACCCCUCAAUGCAAAUCCAUACACCCUCUAAACCAAAAACAACACAGUGCAUUAGUAUCUUCUCCUAGGACUCCUUGACCGAUGUGCUCGUCCUGAU